UACGUAGGUGGCAAGCGUUGUCCGGAAUUAUUGGGCGUAAAGCGCGCGCAGGCGGUUUCUUAAGUCUGAUGUGAAAGCCCACGGCUCAACCGUGGAGGGUCAUUGGAAACUGGGAAACUUGAGUGCAGGAGAGAAGAGUGGAAUUCCACGUGUAGCGGUGAAAUGCGUAGAGAUGUGGAGGAACACCAGUGGCGAAGGCGACUCUUUGGCCUGUAACUGACGCUGAGGCGCGAAAGCGUGGGGAGCAAACAGG
rnacentral:rRNA from 1 species